UGGGAUGGAGCUGUAUCAUUGUCCUCUUGGUAUCAACAGCUACAGGUAAGGGGCUCACAGUAGCAGGCUCGAUGUCUGGCCAUACACUUGAGUGACAAUGACAUCCACUCUGCCUUUCUCUCCACAGGUGUCCACUCCCAGGUCCAACUGCAGCAGCCUGGGGCUGAGCUGGUGAGGCCUGGGACUUCAGUGAAGUUGUCCUGCAAGGCUUCUGGCUACACCUUCACCAGCUACUGGAUGCACUGGGUAAAGCAGAGGCCUGGACAAGGCCUUGAGUGGAUCGGAGUGAUUGAUCCUUCUGAUAGUUAUACUAACUACAAUCAAAAGUUCAAGGGCAAGGCCACAUUGACUGUAGACACAUCCUCCAGCACAGCCUACAUGCAGCUCAGCAGCCUGACAUCUGAGGACUCUGCGGUCUAUUACUGUGCAAGACACAGUGUUGCAACCACAUCCUGAG